GAUAUGGGUGCCAUGCGUCAUCGCACCCUGGCUGCUCGCCGCGGUGUCCGAAGACCCCUCGGUACCUCUACGGAGAUGCAGCAGCCGAACAAGGCCGCUGCCGCUGCCAGCACAAGUGGAAGUCAUCGUGCACCACUUCCUCGCACUCAUGAUCGCUUCAUUCGCACGCAUCCCAAGGCCGUCGACAGCUUCAAGACCAACCUCAGCCUUCUGAAGAGUGGCC
rnacentral:ribozyme from 1 species